UUGCGUGUUUUUUAAAAAACAUUUCUGAGGGGAAAAUGUUUUUGGUUUAACCUGCUCAAUGCUUAAGGUAAAUAGCUGCAGUAUUCUGACUGUACAAAGGUAGCAUAAUCAUUAGUCUUUUGAUUGGAGGCUUGUAUGAAUGGUUGAACAGAAAAUUAACUUUUUCAACUAUAUGAUGUUUUAAUUUGCAGUUUAUGUAAAAAUACAUAAUUAUUCAAAAGGGACGAUAAGACCCUAUAGAAUUUAAAAUUAUAAACGAAAAUUUUAAUUUUUUGUUGGGGUGACAAUAAAUAAACUUUUAUUUAAUUUUCAUUGUUGAAUGAGUGAAUGAUCCUUAUAAUUUUAGAUAAAAAGAUAAAAUUACCUUAGGGAUAACAGCAUAAUUUUUUUUAAAAGAUCUUAUUAAUAAAAAAGAUUAUGACCUCGAUGUUGAAUUAAAAUAAAAUUUUGGUGUAGAAGCUUAAUUUUUUAGUCUGUUCGACUUUAAAUUUUACAUGAUCUGAGUUU
rnacentral:rRNA from 1 species